GCUUAAUACAUGCGAGUCGAGCGGUAAAUUGGUUAUAGCAAUAUGACUGAUCUAGAGCGGCGCACGGGUGAGUAACGCGUACACGACCUACCCUAUACUGGGGGAUAGCCUUGGGAAACUGAGAUUAAUACCCCAUGGUAUUGUUGUACUUCCUGGUAUGGCAAUUAAAGUUGCGACGGUAUAGGCUUGGUGUGCGUCUGAUUAGCUAGUUGGUGGUGUAACGGACCACCAAGGCGAUGAUCAGUAGGGGGCGUGAGAGCGUGACCCCCCACACGGGUACUGAGACACGGACCCGACUCCUACGGGAGGCAGCAGUAAGGAAUAUUGGUCAAUGCCCGCAAGGGUGAACCAGCCAUCCCGCGUGCAGGAAGAAGGGGCUCUGCCUUGUAAACUGCUUUUGCAUGGGACGAAAGAAUAAGAUUUAUCUUAAGUUGACGGUACCAUGAGAAUAAGCACCGGCUAACUCCGUGCCAGCCGCCGCCGUAA
rnacentral:rRNA from 1 species